rnacentral:lncRNA from 1 species
CAAUUAAAUAGUGAAUAAUUCUAGAUCCCACACUGCAUUUUCUUCAUGCUGACUUAACAUGCAGGAAUGAAACACAGUGAUGUUUUCAUUAUCUGUGGUCGGCUGAAAAGCCGAUGCCACAGGGACCUCCUGGCGGUAUUGUUGGUAUCUUGGGAGUUGUGGUGGUGGCCGGUCUGAUUGUAGGAGUAGUGGCCACAAUAUGUAUGGUGUACAGGAGAGGACAGAAGCCCCGUACAGAAACAGACAACGACCUCAUUGCAGUGGCUGAUAGCUGUGUGACAAAGCCAGAGGCCCCUGGGACUGAGGCCCCAGAGAAGCCUGAAUCCACCACCAGGAAAGUAAAGGCCAUGGCUUCCUAGUCAACUCCUUUUCCAAAUUUCCCCUCAAAGAGUCUCUGUGUGGCAUGAUGGCCUCCAGUUCUGUCUGUUUUGAGCUCUGUUUGAGCAGCAUUUGAGCAGUAAUAGGAAAUAUUGUGAUGAAUUCCACAAAAGAUCAGCAGGGCAGAGCGGGGAGUGUUGUAACACCAGGCGAGUCACAACAACACCAGUUUACCCAAUUAGAAAUGAGCUACAGGGGUGAAAUCACUAUUAUACCAGAG